AUUACUUUAUUCACAUUAUAUCCUCUUUUAUUGCAUCUAUUAGACUUAAUGGUGCCCACAAUAUUGACCCAAUUGCAUUAGCUCGACUUUUUGCCUGAUACCUCUGUUCACAUGGCCUGCUAUCAUCUCUGCUGAAAGAGUCUAUUAUGAGCAGCUCUGGUUGGUAGAGAGCUUGAAAAAGUGCAGUCUUUGUCAUGUGAAGAAAUAGAAGCCCAGAAUGACCAGUAUUUGCAGCAAAUCUAUCAGGAAAUCAGAAAGGACUCCAAAACUCAAAGCUAGCUCAAUGUGAGGACUAAAGAGACCAAGCCAUUAUGAAUACUUACAAAGCUUUAAAAGAUUAAAAUAAAUUAAAAGACUAUAAAAUGAAGAGGGAGAAAAUGGCUGAACCCAAAGAAAUGAGGAUGUAACUUUGGCCUUCAAAUUAAAAGAUGCAUUGAAGUCAGAGGCUGGUCCUCAAAAUUGGAGGCUGAUAUUUUGGCACACAGAUUGGCUGGGAGUUGAGAAUUCACCAUAACUAUACUGACAGACAUCACUGUAUUAACCUGUAGUGAAACGUCUGGAUCUGCAGAACACUGUACUAUUUCCUGGAAGAUGAACUACCUGGAAAACCAUGUUUUCAUGAUGCUUGUAAAACUAGAACAAGAACAAAGGAAAUUAGGA